rnacentral:rRNA from 1 species
UACGUAUGGUGCAAGCGUUAUCCGGAAUGACUGGGUGUAAAGGGGGCGUAGACGGUUGUACAAGUCUGAUGUGAAAGCCCACGGCUCAACUGUGGGAGUGCAUUGGAAACUGUAGAACUAGAGUAUCGGAGAGGCAAGUGGAAUUCCUAGUGUAGCGGUGAAAUGCGUAGAUAUUAGGAGGAACACCAGUGGCGAAGGCGGCUUGCUGGACGAAAACUGGCGUUGAGGCUCGAAAGCGUGGGGAGCAAACAGG